GAUGAAGAACGUAGCGAAAUGCGAUAAGUAAUGUGAAUUGCAGAAUUCAGUGAACCAUCGAAUCUUUGAACGCACAUUGCGCCCCCUGGAAUUCCGGGGGGCAUGCCUGUUCGAGCGUCUCAGGGACGAACCCUCGCGCGGGUGUACGCGCGGUCGUGGCUGCGGUGGCGUGCCCGAGGCGGCGGCCACCGCGCUGGAAUCCAUGGGCGGACGCCUGCCGCGUGGCCGAGCGUGAUAUGACGCAUUGGCGCUCGCACGCGGCGAGGCUGCCAGCCCUGGCCCGUCUGUCGGGCGGGGGAGAGCAAGACACGUGAACUCCUCGAAUCAGGUAGGGAUACCCGCUGAACUUAAGCAUAUCAAUAAGCGGAGGA
rnacentral:misc_RNA from 1 species